rnacentral:lncRNA from 1 species
AUGAAGCCGCGGACCCUCGCUAUGCUGUUUAUCAAAAUCAAGAACACAGAGGUAGAGACAAGAACUGCUGACACUCAUUCCCAGCAGGUGAAUAGCCACCAGCACAGCCACCAGCUGACCAACAGCGACCUCUGGACUGAAGUUGUUUUGAAGAUAACAAUGGAAUAUGAAUUGCAAGAAAAAAACUCCAUUGUAACCUUUUCUAAAGACAACUUCAUUUUCAAUUUGAUUUCAGCAUGA